CCCCUAGAUGUCCUGGGCCGCACGCGCGCUACACUGAUGCAUUCAACGAGUUUUACCUUGGCCGAGAGGCCUGGGCAAUCUUUUAAACCUGCAUCGUGAUAGGGAUAGAUUAUUGCAAUUAUUAAUCUUGAACGAGGAAUUCCUAGUAAACGCAGAUCAUCAAUCUGCAUUGAUUACGUCCCUGCCCUUUGUACACACCGCCCGUCGCACCUACCGAUUGAAUGGUCCGGUGAAGCCUCGGGAUUGUGGCCAGUUCACUUUAUUGGGAGUUGGCUGCGAGAACUUGUCUAAACCUUAUCAUUUAGAGGAAGGUGAAGUCGUAACA
rnacentral:rRNA from 1 species